AUGUGCUGGUUCACAUGGCAAUUGCUCCAUUCUUCAUAUAGGUCGUUUGGGUUUCAAACUACAGUGAAGAUAACUCAGCAAGCGAUCAACGUGGCACCUGUCGAGGCUGUGAGCGCUGUGAAUGGCGUCGGUCUUGUCAAACUUAUGGCCGGCAGGAGCAUGGGCCACAUUACUCUUCAUGCCACCCUAAGCAGUCGAGAUGUUGGCUGCUAUUUGAACCCUGACAUUGAUUUCCAUAUUGGAGGGGAGGGAGGCCUGUUUGAGUUCCUGUAUGAAAGGAUAAAGAAGAAGGGGCAUGUUGUCAUCGUUGUUGUUGAAGGCGGUGAUCAGAAGUUGAUUCCCCGGACUGAUGACCAGAAGCGAGAGCAGGAUGAGUCUGAUAACAUGUCUUUUCUUGCCGUUGGCCUUCUUCUAUAA
rnacentral:rRNA from 1 species